CUGAUUGCGAUCACGUUUUGAUUAGUUUAGACGACAAUUACUCCUCUACGAUAUAUCUCGUGUUUAUCAAACCGUCUAGAAAUCUUAACUAUAAUAUUUAACUAGAAGUUUCUCGUGUUUAAUACUGUCACAUGUAGUUUCAUACUCGCAGUACACCUCGCGAGGUCAGUGUAGCGAUCGAGACAGAAUUAAUGUAAGCGCGGUACAAUUAUUCAACUUGCAGCGGAUGGUACAAUUGGUCAAUCGAAAUUCCACAUGAGAGAUGCUAAGAUCGCGGAGCUGAGAAGGUUAGAAAUGAAAAAAAACGGAGGUUGGGAAGGCUACAGGCAGACCUAUAUUAGUUUACUGUUCGCAAAUAGUUAAGGAUGUGGGUUGUUCUAGUUUUAGGGAAAUGCGAAGAUUAGCUCAAGAUAAGAAAGAGCGGAGGUGCGUGUCCAACCAGUCUUAGGACUCACGACCUUAUGAUGAUGAUGAUAAUUGGUGAUCGUAUGUAUUGGUAUAAAAUGAAAUGAUUUUUCAGUCUUUAGAGCUUUAGAGUCUGUCCCUUGUUAGGUUUUACCAUUGACGAUUAAUAAUUAGUAAACUAUACAGUCGAAUUUAAACGUUUUCGGAUGUGACUAGAAUGUACGUAACCAUCUUCUUUUCAUUGUCGAUUUCUAUUUAGUCGACUUCGUAUAACCGUAGAUUUUAGCGUAUAACAUAAUGAAAGCAAUUCGUAAUGAAAGUUACACGCACAGAAUAUACCGGAACCGAUUCGCGGAAUUUGUUCCAAACUUCUGUUUUUGAUUUACCAAUCAUGUUAAAAAUAAUCCUCUUUUUUCUCUAUAUUCCUACAUCGGCUUUUUGAUUAUGUAGAGAAGAAAGAAAUACAGCUCUCAUAAAAUUAAUCAUUAAUUUAGGCUAGUAGGGACUUGAUCGUUCUACUUCCUAUAGUUAUUUCUUAAAUAACAAGGCUUUAGUACCUAUACAGGGCGAAAAAUUGGUAUUUGGACAAACAAACAAAAAUUAAUCUGUAUCUAGUUCUAUUUUUCAUAAAAUUUCCUGAAGCUAUGAUAUUUUUUGAAGAUUCGGGCUGUAGGGCCGUGGUCUAAGUGAACUAUUCUGUCCAGGAUCCUAUAGCCCGAAUCUUCAUUCUACUAUGGAUUCCGGCUGUUAAAGGCUAUGUUCUUAUAUGAUAUUUUUAUCAUAAUAAUAUUAAAAGAAAUUAAUAGAAAGUUAAAAUAGUUAAUAAUAUUUGUCUACGUUAUUAUUUACUUGGGAAAAUAUAUUUAGAGGAGGCAGACUACUUACUACCAUUAGGAUAAGUAAAAACAGUAUUAGAGAUUGACGACGUAAACCACGCAUCAGCCGCUUCACCACCCCACCACACUUCUAAUCCUUAUUGACUCUCAUUAUUAUUCAUUUCGCUCUUAAAAUAGGUACUUUAAUAGUAUCUACACGCAGCAACCAACUGAUAGAUCUUAGAUUGUCAUUUGUCAAUAUUUGAUUACGAUGUAAGUACCUACUUAAUAAUAUUGUACCUACUACCACGUUGCAUCUAUGUAUUAAAGCGUGAAACCAAUAUGUUAGAGUUUGCUGUUGCUAUCCGUAUCUUCUUGAUUUGUUGAGUAUUAAUUUUAGUUGUUUGCCCAGUGUCCAUUUUCAAUUUUCACUGAUGAUCGUUUACUACCUUAUGUAUUCAAUUUUUACUAGAAUUUCUGCAUGUGAUGAGCCGUAACAGAAGUUUGACAUCAGAUCAAAGAACUAGGAUUAGUCGGAUUCUUGAAAGGCAACAUCUGAAUGGAACAAUGGUGAAUGUUGUACAGGACCCAGCAGUUUGUUAGAUAUAAAAUAACAAUGAAACUUAUUUUGUGAAAAACUGAUUUAAAUUAAAUUUGAUAGCAAUGUGAA
rnacentral:lncRNA from 1 species